rnacentral:rRNA from 1 species
UACGUAGGGGGCAAGCGUUGUCCGGAUUUAUUGGGCGUAAAGAGCGUGUAGGCGGUUUGGUAGGUCCGCUGUGAAAACUCGAGGCUCAACCUCGAGACGCCGGUGGAAACCAUCAGGCUAGAGUCCGGAAGAGGAGAGUGGAAUUCUCGGAGUAGCGGUAAAAUGCGUAGAUAUCGAGAGGAACACCGAUGGCGAAGGCAGCUUCUUGGUCCACACCUGACGCUGAUACACGAAAGCGUGGGGAGCAAACAGG